AUUGUUAUUUAUAGAUUUUAUUGAUUAAUGGAAUAUUUAUUUAAAAAUUGAUAUAUCAAAGAUGAUAAGUUGUUUUAUUGGGUUUGAAAUAGUGAUAACGCCACAAAACUUAAUAAAAAUCGAUAUGUCUAUAGAUAUUGAUUGAAAAUUUGUUCAAAAGAAACAUUGAAACAAAGUAGGUUUGACUCUAGUUGGUUUGUCAAUUGGCUGGUACUGAGCUCUUGGAGGUGGUUUGAAUUUAUUAUUUUGGAGAGGAAUAUGUGGAGCUUCGGUUGUUGGUACAAUUAUAGUAUUCCUUAAAAUAAAAUUUCAAUUACAUAUUUCAAGCUUCAUAUGUUUAUCUCAACAAUUACCUUGGAAAAUGAUUGACGUAAUUAAGAAUAGGUCUCCCGUGUGAAGCUUGCGGCGAAAAGGGAUGGUUAGAAUAAAACACGUUCGGACUAGAAUGAUGAUGAAAAUUUUGUUGUUGGGGUAAAGUAGAAUCCACAAUAAUUUUACCAUAAACGUAUUUCUUUGGUUCAACAAACGUUGGUUGUACACCGUAAAGCGGAUGUUGCUUGGGAUUAAAAGAUGGAGGAGCAGUAUUUUGUAUAUAUUGACCGUGAUGUACUGCUGGUUGUACAGUUUCAGAAGUUAUUAAGUUCGGAGGGUUAUUUUGUGGUGGCGGUUUCAUAUCCUGUUCAAACAGCUGUUUCACGUGUACAUUUGAUACUGCAUCAGUUGGAGUUUGUUGAAAUUCGUAUAAAACUUGCUGAGCUGCUACUUUCGGUUCAAUCACUUUAACUGGUUGACUGAGAUCUACUAAUGCCAGAGGUCUUACUUGAUAUGUGUUCACCUGCUUCGGCUCGUAGUAAACUUUCGGAUUGUCGUUGUAUGGCAAAACCAAACCGGACUCUCCGUAAGAUUGGACAUCUCUAGACAAGUUUCUUUUUGUUUUGGAUAACAAGUUUGUUGUGUUCUGAGCGUGUACUGCCCAUAUGGACAACCACGUUAUCCAAAUCUGUUGACAAAAUAAUUCAAUAUUUAAAAAAAAAUCAAUACUGGCAAUCCAAUUCAAAACUAUUGGUACACACUGUAUGAGGAUAUAACUUGCAAUGAACUGAAAGAGUAAAUGUUAUUUUUGCAUUGAUUGGAUUAAUAAAAAUGUCAACAUUGUUUUUUUUUUCAUUCAAAACUUCACUCUAUCUACAACAAUCAACCCAAAGCAAAAUUACUGCUACUGGAAUACAACCAAUCCAAAACACAUACAUCAUAAAGCCCUAGAGACACUUAAUUUCUCGAAGUUGAGAGAAAAGAACAGUUUUAGUGAACUCAGAGCCUUAUCUCUGCCACGAGUUCGUGAGUUGACAAAAGUUAGCCUCCGCGCAGUCCCGAUUUAAUACCUAUGGACAUUUUCGUGUGAAUUUAUGUCAAAUCUAAAGUUUACGCUAACCAAUUGACUUCCCUGGCACAAUUCAAAGAAAAUAUCCGUCACGAAAUGGCAGCCAUCAUGGAGAAUACCUGUCAUUGAUCAAAUCAGUGCUUGAAUGAAUGUCGUUUACAUUUGGACGAUUUAUUUUAAUAUGUAAUAAAGAUUUUUUCAAUAAACUCCUUUCUUUUGGGACAUCUCGUAUUUUUCAAAUACAUACUUUUGUUUGUAAUAAAAAUAAAUGCCAAUAUUAAUUGAAAAA